GCACCCCGCUGACGAGCGGCGGACGGGUGAGUAAUGCUUAGGAAUCUGCCCAGUAGUGGGGGACAACAGUCGGAAACGGCUGCUAAUACCGCAUACGCCCUACGGGGGAAAGCAGGGGAUCUUCGGACCUUGCGCUAUUGGAUGAGCCUAAGUCGGAUUAGCUAGUUGGUGGGGUAAAGGCCUACCAAGGCGACGAUCCGUAGCUGGUCUGAGAGGAUGAUCAGCCACAUCGGGACUGAGACACGGCCCGAACUCCUACGGGAGGCAGCAGUGGGGAAUAUUGGACAAUGGGGGCAACCCUGAUCCAGCCAUGCCGCGUGUGUGAAGAAGGCUUUCGGGUUGUAAAGCACUUUCAGCGAGGAGGAAGGCCUUAAAGUUAAUACCUUUAAGGAUUGACGUUACUCGCAGAAGAAGCACCGGCUAACUCCGUGCCAGCAGCCGCGGUAAUACGGAGGGUGCAAGCGUUAAUCGGAAUUACUGGGCGUAAAGCGCGCGUAGGUGGUUUGGUAAGCGAGAUGUGAAAGCCCCGGGCUUAACCUGGGAACGGCAUUUCGAACUGUCAGACUAGAGUGUGGUAGAGGGUAGUGGAAUUUCCUGUGUAGCGGUGAAAUGCGUAGAUAUAGGAAGGAACACCAGUGGCGAAGGCGGCU
rnacentral:rRNA from 1 species